rnacentral:rRNA from 1 species
UACAGAGGUGGCAAGCGUUGUUCGGAAUUACUGGGCGUAAAGGGCGCGUAGGCGGCCAUCUAAGUCAGACGUGAAAUCCCCCGGCUUAACCUGGGAACUGCGUCUGAUACUGGACGGCUUGAGUAUGGGAGAGGGAUGUAGAAUUCCAGGUGUAGCGGUGAAAUGCGUAGAUAUCUGGAGGAACACCGGUGGCGAAGGCGGCAUCCUGGACCAAUAUUGACGCUGAGGAGCGAAAGCCAGGGGAGCAAACGGG